rnacentral:rRNA from 1 species
GCCGGCGCUUACACAUGCAAGUCGAGCGGUAGCACARGRGAGCUUGCUCYCUGGGUGACGAGCGGCGGACGGGUGAGUAAUGUCUGGGAAACUGCCUGAUGGAGGGGGAUAACUACUGGAAACGGUAGCUAAUACCGCAUAACGUCGCARGACCAAAGAGGGGGACCUUCGGGCCUCUUGCCAUCAGAUGUGCCCAGAUGGGAUUAGCUAGUAGGUGGGGUAAUGGCUCACCUAGGCRACRAUCCCUAGCUGGUCUGAGAGGAUGACCAGCCACACUGGAACUGAGACACGGUCCAGACUCCUACGGGAGGCAGCAGUGGGGAAUAUUGCACAAUGGGCGCAAGCCUGAUGCAGCCAUGCCGCGUGUGUGAAGAAGGCCUUCGGGUUGUAAAGCACUUUCAGCGAGGAGGAAGGUGGUGARCUUAAUACGYUCAUCAAUUGACGUUACUCGCAAAAGAAGCACCGGCUAACUCCGUGCCAGCASCCGSGRGGUAAUAMA